rnacentral:rRNA from 1 species
GUCUAUGGCCAUGCCACCCUGAACACGCCCGAUCUUGUCUGAUCUCGUAAGCUAAGCAGGGUCGGGCCUGGUUAGUACUUGGAUGGGAGACCACCUAGGAAAACGUGGUGCUAUAGGCA